CAGAUCUCACAAUGACAAACAUUAUAAUCUCUCUCACUGUCUUCUUUAUCUGGACACUGACUCUUUUAUCUCAAGACUGCAGUGCAGAAGUCAGUGUGACUCAGAGUCCUUCAGUAAAGACUAUAGAACCAGGACAAUCAGUAACAAUAACAUGUCAUACCAGUAUCCCAGUUGGUAACUGGUGUAGUAAUAAAUAUUGCUUAAGCUGGUACCUCAAGAAACCUGAAGCAGCUCCUAAACUCCUCAUCUAUAGAGCAGAUGUCCGACAUGACUCUGUCCCAUCUCGAUUUAGUGGAAGUAGAUCUGGUGCUUUCAUUUUCCAUUUGACCAUCAGUAAAGCCCAGGGUGAAGAUGCAGGAGAAUAUUACUGCUUCGGUGACCUCGGCGGUCAUAGAUACACACAGUGA